AGACCCAGAGCGACAGCCAGACCUGCUAGUAGGCCGAGCACGUGCGUUGUGUUGCUUUGAUUCAUCCGCAGGAAAUAGCGUUGGUUGAACAGAGUGGAGCUAACGCGUUCAUUUACAUGAAAAUAGUGGCAAGGGUGGUACAAACGGUCUGUUGAAAAUCCACUGAAACGCGUCAGAGUGCACCGCGUGGCAGAAAUGAGAUAUUAUACUACUUUGAACGUUCCUCGAGACGUUGCAAUCAACGGAAAACGAGCAUCAGCAUGUGUUUGCGCAGCAAAUGAAUUUCUGUGUACGUGCAGCGAUCCCGCGCUACAAAAGAGCUUGUUUAUCUAUGGCAGCUUAACUUUUUCAAUCUCGGUGUCAGAAACUGCUACAUCCGUAACAGCGGAGAAGUUGAAAAGUUGAAAAAUUGCUGGCCAGCCUCGUACGAGGAUUAAUUUAGCCGCGGAAAAUCAAGCUUGUUCGAUCAGAAACGGACGUGGAAGCGAAGAAAACAAAACAGAAGAGAUAAAAAGACAGGGAGAGAUGCAGUUCGACAGAAUUCAAAUUGACUUCGAGUCAAGCCCGAUUUAAUGAUCUCUAAAAUUAAAGGAACCGAGGAAAUGCAGACGACGCCCAGGCGAAACGCUCCGAACCGAAAUAAAUCACGAGAGUGCUAGGCGGUCGUUGCUUCUUUCACGUUUUCUUCCAUUCUUAUUAACUUCAGUCUCAAUCUUCGAGAUAACACGGUUCUACAUUCAGUGCUACCUAAUUCCAGCUGCAACUACGUCCAAUGUUAUUUAUUUAAAUUCUGUAAAAACUAUUGCCUAACAUUUCCACGGGAAUGGCGAUAUAUGAGCUCAAAUACAAUGCAACGAGUACCAGGAACUCGAGAAUCGAUCAACCGAUAGUUAACUGGUUACAGUCCGAUUUUUUUGGCUUUAUCGGACAGCGUGCAGCAUGGAAUUAGCUUGGUCAAGUAGAUAAUCGAAACAGCACACGUCCAGAGAUUAUCGGCGGUAAUGUUUCCGCGCAUAUUGAAUUUGUUUAUUAUCACAGAUAGGAAAUCGCGACCAUUUAUUGAUCACGUUUUAAAGUACCCGUAGUUCAAAGCUAUCAAAUUACGCUUGAUAAUCUUUGUGAUCCCAGAAACUAUAUCGUCCUAAUAUUUAUUCAUAAAACAUUAUACAGUUCCGGGGAAUACGUGCAUCGAAAACAAUUUAUUUAAAAAAGGGAAAAACUUUAAAUUACACGGGCGGAACAAGCUAACUCUUUUUUCCGCGCUGGACAUUGACGGUUUUAAAAACAACUCCCAACGAACAGUGUUAAACGGAAAAUCAAACUUUUAAUGAUAUCCCUCAAAGCGUUUCGUUGAAUAGUUUGUGCGUUCCUACCACGGAUUUGUGGGAACGUGUUUAGGAACACCACAAACACCUAUGCGAGAAUGAAACUAAAGACUCGGAGUUGGAAACUGCUCGCAGCUGGUAGUGCCAGAUUUUCGGUUACCUCUCAUUUGUACUAUUUUCUGUUUUCCAUUUAAUUCUUA